UCCAUACUUCAGCUUUCAUUAGCUUUUACCUAAUAUCCUUUUUCUGUACCAGGAUCCCAUCCAGGAUACUACAUUACUUUUAGUUGUCAUGUCUACUUAGGCUCCACUAUACCAGUCUCUCAGACUUUCCUAGUUUCUGAAGACCAUGACAGUUUU